GGUAAUACGGAGGGUGCAAGCGUUAUCCGGAUUUAUUGGGUUUAAAGGGUCCGUAGGCGGACCUGUAAGUCAGUGGUGAAAUCCAACAGCUCAACUGUUGAACUGCCAUUGAUACUGAUAAGCUUGAGUACAGACGAGGUAGGCGGAAUUGAAGAUGUAGCGGUGAAAUGCAUAGAUAUCUUCAAGAACACCGAUUGCGUAGGCAGCUUACUAGGCUGUAACUGACGCUGAGGCACGAAAGCGUGGGGAGCGAACA
rnacentral:rRNA from 1 species